rnacentral:tRNA from 1 species
GGAGUUGUAGCUCAAUGGUAGAGCACUUACCUAGCAUGUGUGAGGCACUGGGUUCAAGUCUCAGCACCA